rnacentral:lncRNA from 1 species
UCAAAUGCUUUUACCUUUUAAAAGAAUUAUUCUAAAAAGGAAAAACUUCAAAAACCCCCUCUGUGGUUCCACACUUUUUCAUUUUAGUAUCCUGUGGUUUAAAGUGUAUCAAGUUAGUACCCUGUGGUUUCUCACUUUAUCACUUUAGUACCCUGUGGUUUAAAGUGUAUCAAGUUAGUACUCUGUGGUUUUGCACUUUAUCACUUUAGUACCCUGUGGUUUCACACUUUAUCACUUUAGUACCCUAUAGUUUAAAAAACCACAGGGUACUAAUUUGAUACAAAAUUAAAACCACAGGNAUUUUUUCAAUUAAUAAUAAAAUCUACUCUCUUAAUAUUAGGUCAAAAAAAUUAUAAUUAUGAAGGCUAAAAGAGUAAUAAUUAUUAUUGACAGAAUAAAUAUAUUAAAUUUAAUUAUAAUUAGGAUAAUAUAA